rnacentral:rRNA from 1 species
AUUGAACGCUGGCGGCAGGCUUAACACAUGCAAGUCGAGCGGAGAUGAGGUGCUUGCACCUUAUCUUAGCGGCGGACGGGUGAGUAAUGCUUAGGAAUCUGCCUAUUAGUGGGGGACAACAUUCCGAAAGGAAUGCUAAUACCGCAUACGCCCUACGGGGGAAAGCAGGGGAUCUUCGGACCUUGCGCUAAUAGAUGAGCCUAAGUCGGAUUAGCUAGUUGGUGGGGUAAAGGCCUACCAAGGCGACGAUCUGUAGCGGGUCUGAGAGGAUGAUCCGCCACACUGGGACUGAGACACGGCCCAGAGUCCUACGGGAGGCAGCAGUGGGGAAUAUUGGACAAUGGGCGGAAGCCUGAUCCAGCCAUGCCGCGUGUGUGAAGAAGGCCUUUUGGUUGUAAAGCACUUUAAGCGAGGAGGAGGCUACCUGGAUUAAUACUCUAGGAUAGUGGACGUUACUCGCAGAAUAAGCACCGGCUAACUCUGUGCCAGCAGCCGCCGUAAAAC